AUGACAGCAGCCUACUGCAUAUUUUUCAUCACACCUUCACAUUUCACUCUCUCAAUCUUCUUUAAGGAGCAUUCUCUGGACUUAAGAGCUUUCCCUCUAGAGUCCUAAGUGCUCACCAAGAUCUAAACUGUUGCUCAUUUGGAGAUCAAGAGAGAGAAACUAUCUCCAAGUUGAUUCAAGGAUUACGAAAUCGACCCGGAAACGAACAUACAAGUGGUAUCAGAGCAGGAGAUCGAUUGCACGGAUUCAAGAGAUUUCAUCAGAAUCGGGGCUGAAUUUGAUCAAAAUCGUUACAUUUCUUCUUCUACUCACUUUCUUCACUUUUUGAACUUAAAACUCAGAUUUACGGAGAUUUACUGGGUAAAAUUGGCUGAAUUUCGGAAAUGAUGUGCGUAAAAUGAUGUUAAACAAUCCUCCAAAGUUUCAAGUUUAAAUUCAAAGGAAUUUGUGGUCAAAUUGGCGAAAAACUAUGAAUUCUGCGCGUUGUGAAGAAUACUGAUCAAGUCCAUCCAUCUAAAGACAGGGUCCAUCCGGUUGUAUAAGGGUUCAUCCGGCCAAAACAGUUCAUCCGUCUGAAAGACAGGGUCCAUCCGGUUAUAAAAAGGUUAAUCCGACCGAAACAAUUCAUCCGUGAAUAUAGGGUUCAUCCGGCUGAAACAGGUUCAUCCGGCCGAAUUGUCACACCCUGACCGCGUAAAACAACAAACCCUGGUGAAAACGUCGGGGAGUGUCGUAACAGAAUCAUUAUUUCACAACAGAUGGUGAUUGAAGUUUUGUUUUAUUCCACUAAUGUACUCAUUGUUUUAAUACAAACCAGAUAAAUACAAAUAAUUGUCUU
rnacentral:lncRNA from 1 species